CCCCAGCUCACUACAACCUCCCUUCAGGUAGUUAUAGAGAGCAGUAAGGUCUCCCCUGAGCCUCCUCUUCUCCAGACUGAACAAUCCCAGCUCCUUCAGCUGCUCCUCCUUAAUUCAAAUUGUAUCCCCAUGUGAGUUUUCUCCUUCUGUGGCAUUGAUUCCCCCACUAAUAGCAGGCAGAAGCUACAUCGCCAUCCUCAGAGGGACAGAAGUUAUAUUUUAUCCCGGUUUUGUAGGAACCUGACCAGUAACUCAAAGAAUCCCCUGCUCCAGUGCCCCAUAGAGAAGAUCAGAAAUGUAGACAGUGUCCUCAGUAUCCAAGAUUUAAAACUCUAUUCACUGCUUCUGUCCACAGAUCUUGACAUCAGACUUCUGCUUUUCUUCAUGUCCCUCUAGACCACUUUGGUUUCAUAUUACUCUUCAGUAUCUCAUUUGAGAAAGAAAAUAGAAGUUCAUCCCUUAGAUUCCAAAAACUUGCAUACAGAAGGUAUCUUCUCUCAUUGAACUACCGCUCGUAUUAAAGCGAUGUUAGUAUUAAAUAACAACAAUGCUCCUAUGGAGGUACGUACGUUUAUUUGGGCACCCAAAACUGUUCCACAUGGUUAAUGGGAUUGCAACCAAUGACAAGCUAAUUUAAAAGGAUUACUGAAAACAUCACCUUCACAAAUGUUAUUUUUUUUGAUUAUCUACAGCAAUAGCAAAACAGCACAAAAUAGCUGGGCACAACUUCCACAGUGAAAUGUGUGAAAUCUAAGAGGAAUAAAUGAAGUAAUGGCAUCUGUCUGUCUAGAAAUAGAAUCAUCCUGAAGUGUACUCUAUGUACAGAAGGAAAACACACACUUUGGAAAAUGAGUCAAUAUUUUCAGAAAAAGCCACAGAUUCUGAGUACGUCGUAUUCUAAUUGCUCAGCUCGGACACAUGAAUGCUGGGUUGUUCCCUGAGCCCCUUUCCACAGGCAACAAGCUUCGAGUUUCCUGUCAACACAUCUCUCUCAUCCUUUAGUUGGCCUCACUUAUUAUGGGGUUCCAGGUUCUAGACUCCUGAAGUCUCAGGAAAAACCACUUCUCUUUUUUCCUUUUCUAAGGGAAAGAAUGUUUCCACAAAGAAGCACAUUAAGAGGCUAAGGUCAAUAAUUUACCUACUUACAGGAGAAGUGAGAGUGUAAAGUUAUAAAAUAUGUCUAAAAAGUAACAGUCAUGCUUCAUGGUAUUUUCAAAGAGCACAUUUCUUUUGAAUGUAAUUCAUGUUCAUGAAACCGUUUUGAAGAUGAAAAGUCCCGUGUGUAUGCAUUACUGCUUCUGUUAACAGUAGUCAUAGAUUUGUGUCUGGGCAGAAAGAGAAUAGUAAAUGAUAGUGGCUAUGCAGUAUGGACAGUAGGCUUUAUGGUGGUCUACUUCGAUUUGUUUGACAACAUUUUGUCAUGAAAACUGAAUCUCCAUUCUGGUAGCAGCACAUUCCUGCACCUUGUCUCACAUCCUCCUUCACACACUUCCUGCAGUGUGUGACCAGGACCAGGGAAGCAUCAGUGUGAUAAACCCUAUUGGACUCAACAGGUUUCAAUCACAAGCUUGAAUUAAAGCACAUGUAUAAGUGUUGAUUUAAAACCAGAUGGAUUUAUGCACAUUUUUAUAUUUUGACAAGAGUUUAGGAACCACUGUUAGAUACACCUCUGGCACUGUUUUGUCUUACACCUCAUACUGCUACCUGCAGUAGAAAUACCUCUGCUUAAUGGGACUCUGCAGAGCCUGAAGAUGAGUUGGUAAGCUGUGAUAGAAGCUGUGAGUGAAACCUCAAUCUUGAUAAAGAAUAGAUGAAUGUUAUUGUUUUUCUUUGUACCAUAUUAUGUGUAUUUGUAUCACUCUAAAUGUAGAGUCAGUCAAGACUAAGCGCAGUGUCUGGAUGCUGUUCUGCAGCAAACAUUAAUGAAACCGUGUUAUUUCACAAGGAUUGUUGCAUUUUCAGUGUCUGACUGGAGCUAGUGUUUGCCAUUGAUAAAGGCUGUCAAGUUCUGUAGAACUGUGUAAUCGGAAACCAAAAGAACUACUGAAAAAUAAUACAGUUCUGCUGAAGUGAUUCUGAAAAACUUCAGAAUGUAAUGGACUAUGAGAAAUUGUUCAACAUUCCAUACGUCUGGUUAAAAGUAGUCUACAAAUAUGCUUAGUAUUAACUUCUGUAGAACUUUGCCUUUAGAUGCAGAGCUUGUCUUACUUGUGAAAUGAUAUAACCAGUAUCUAUUAACACUGAUAGAAUAUUGAGAAGAGUGGGAUUUUUGAUUCAGCAGAGCAGGGAGUUUUUCGGUGUCUCCCAUCCACAUGACUGUACAAAGCUGUCAGCCAACGUUUGGGAUGGAAUUUCAUCUAGGACAUUAUUCUAACAACUUUUCCGGUCUGCAGGUAUGUAAAUACUUUUUGUUUUAGUCAAACUUGUUUAACCAAAUCACGUGGGUUUUUUGCACGUUUGCUUUUCCUGAAUGUUCCAGAUUGUCCACUGGCUCCUGGGACACAACCAGAAAUACUGGAACAGAAAUAUGUCUCCAGUGAGAAAUUCAUUUCUGAGAGGUGACUCAGAAAGACUCCUGUGCAGAUGACAGGGAGUGCACAGGCAUUUCAGUAGUAAUCUAAGUCCCCCGAAAUAGAAUGGAAUAGGUUUUCAUGCCAUCAUUCUUGAGACAAGAGAGGAGUUAACAAAGAGCUGUAACUUAUAUUCCUCUUGAAAUAGUUCCUGGAAGAUUUACAUUGUUGCUGUUGCAAGGUAAGGCAGAAAUUCUCAGUUAUGCUCAAAAUACAGAAAGGUCAGAUUAGUCUCAAAAUUUGAUUUCUUUUCUAAUUUUUGACUACAAAAUGCUCUUCCGUUACAGUGUAAUUAUCUCAAAGCAAUUGACAAGGCAGAGCUGCAGAUUCGUUCACUAAUUAAUUAAUUCCUGAACUGCAAACAGUUAAAAUUUGCUUCUAAUUUGUCAUUGCACUCAUAGGUACAUGCAUAGAUUAAAAACCAAGCAAAGUCAUUAAAAAGAUUUGGACAGCUGAAGUCUAUGAUUUACAAUGGCUUUAGACUUCCAUUUUAUUGCACAGAGAUUAUAUCUUUGAAACUCUUUUGUGGGUCCACAAUUUUCCCAUAUGAAAUGUCUGUCUGAAUUUUAAACUAGGAUGGAUGGAUGGAUGGAUGGAUGGAUGGAUGGAUGGAUGGAUGGAUGGAUGGGUAGACAUUCCUACAAAUCCUUUUCCCAAAAAUGUCAACAUAGCAUCACGUAAAAUAUCUGGCAUCAGCUGUAAAUUCUGUUGUUGAUCCUUAAAAACUCUAAUCACUUCUUCAAGUUGCUCUUCAAUCUGAUAUCUUUCAAUGACAUGGAAUGGAGCACCACCACAUGGUUUGCAUCAUCAGAAACUCCAAAAAAAAAACAAAAAAAAAACGUAGUGAACUGACCACCUGUCCUGGCCAAGCAACGAUAGAGAGAAAGAAGACCAAUUUGUGCACCUUUAUCCAUCCAAUUGUUGCUAAGAAGUAAAAGACAGUUAUCACAGAUUUGGCCGAGGAAAUACAAUGCACCUAAAGUGAGUUUUUCCUCUUCCCAAAACUAAGGAAUAGAUUGCUUUCCAAUUUAUAGGUGACCAGUACUCUCAUAUCAAGCAUUCUUCCAAAAGCAAUGAUAGAAGAGGAUCUUCAGACACCAGUUCCAAGUUCUAAUCCAAACUAAUCCGUUUGUUGUGAACUGCAUCGUACCACAUAAUUAUAGAACCAUAGGAUCAAAUAAUCAUAGGAUCAUAGAAUGGCUUGGGCUGGAAGAAACCUUAAAGACCAUCUAUUUCCAAACCCUCUGCUGUGAGCAGGGCUGCCACCCACCGGAUCAGCGUGCCCAGAGCUCCAUCCAGCGUGGCCCGAAUUUACUUUUACAUCCCAUUCACAGGCCUUGGUAAGAUACAUUCUCUUCAAAUUCUCUUUGAGUAAUCAAGUUCUAGACAUAAGUUUUAGCAUUUUUUAAACUCGCUGGCAUCAGUUUCCUAAUGUAAGGAAAAUUAAAGUGUGAAGUGGACGGCCAAAUUUAUCUAAGGACUUACUGCCAUGGGAAUGUUAAAUGUGUUAAAGGCUUCAAAGAACCAUUUUAUAUCCUUCAAAAAAAAAAAAAAAAAAGCAAACUAAAAAACUAACUUCUGACUGUACGUCCAUUUUUUAUCAUCACUAAUAUGAGUACAUGAAAAUCCUUCCAACACAUAAUCCACGUCUGCUGCACUUCCAUUCUCACUUAUAGUUUUAGAGACCAGAGAAGAGUUAAAAUUUUGUGAGUGAAGUUCAAUGACAGUCAAUUUGUCAUUCAUUCACUAAGAUCAAAGAUUCUUCGAAUUUUUGCAGAUUCAGUGUCUAUUUUCUUACUGUUAUCUAGUUGUGCUGGCAAAUUCAUACAUAAGUGUAUCAAAGGUAUCAGCUUUCUUAAAAUAAAAUUUUAGAUCAAGCUUCUGCAAUACAUUUUUGAUGUCUUAUGAACUCUAUUGCUAUUGAUAGAGUAUAUCCAAGAUUCAGAAAAAUUGUAAACUUCCUCCCUUCUAUAGAAAUUACCAAAGAUUUCCAUUAGAAAAUCUAUUUUUGUUUUAUCAGAUAUUUAACCAAACAUUCUGUUUUUAGCUUCUGUACUUUAAUGGCCUAACUACCGACACCUUCGUAAGAUUUACAGCUCUAAGAUAGGAUCUGGUGUCAUUUCUAUUUCUCAGAGACACAAAAGUUUCCCAUUCUAAACUCCUAUAUUUUUAGUCCAUUUGAUUUCAUUUAAUGACUCCAAGCCUUAUGCUCAGAAAAGAAAUCUAGAAAGAUACUCAGCUCUGUUUCAGAAGUAAUAAAAAUGAUGAACUGAAGCAGAAACAAUGAGCUGUCAUACAAGAAGAUUAUGGUGGAACUGAAAAUUGAACUUGGUUCUCUUGGGUUACAGCUAGCCACACUAACAUCUUAUCCUUUAUUCCACUCUACCCAAGGCAGCCUCCAGCAAAGUAAAGCAGAAACUUCUCUGAGAGUUUAAAAAGUGUUAGAACUGAUGAAAUGCUCCUGACGAAAAGCCACCUCGGCAAGAUUAAAAUCUUACAACAAAAAAUCUUCAAGCUGAAUGCCUGCCAGAACUCACCUAAAUGGAAGUGGUCAAAUGAAGGCUCUGGUGCUUUUGCCAAAGACUGUUUACUAGAUAAAAUCCCAGAGGCAAUCAGACAUGCAAGUAUCUUUUGUGCAUCCACCUGAGGAAUGUGGACAGAAAUUGUGUAAUUCUACAAGAGGAAAAGAGGAUACUUCUCCAUUAAACAACCGUUCAUUUUGACUGCCUCCAUACUCCCUUCUUCCACAGGAGCAGGAUACUUGGCUGUUCACAACUGUGCAUAAGGUUUCCUUGUCCUGUUUUCCUGCUUUAUGCCACCUGUGAAGCUAGGAUUAAUUGACCUGUGUGUUGUGCUGUUUAUGUUUUAUUUUUACAGUAAAUAAACAUUUUACAUAGA